UACGUAGGGUGCAAGCGUUGUCCGGAAUUAUUGGGCGUAAAGAGCUCGUAGGCGGUCUGUCGCGUCGGCUGUGAAAACUCGGGGCUCAACCCCGAGCCUGCAGUCGAUACGGGCAGACUAGAGUGCUGUAGGGGAGACUGGAAUUCCUGGUGGUAGCGGUGAAAUGCGCAGAAUAUCAGGAAGAACACCGAUGGCGAAAGGCAGAUCUCUGGGACCGUAACUGACGCUGAGGAGCGAAAGCAUGGGGAGCGA
rnacentral:rRNA from 1 species